GCUUUACACAUGCAAGUCGAACGGCAGCGAAGAGAAGCUUGCUUCUCUGUCGGCGAGUGGCGAACGGGUGAGUAUAGCAUCGGAACGUGCCAAGUAGUGGGGGAUAACCAAGCGAAAGUUUGGCUAAUACCGCAUAAGCUCUAAGGAGGAAAGUAGGGGACCGUAAGGCCUUACGCUAUUUGAUCGGCCGAUGUCGGAUUAGCUAGUUGGUGAGGUAAUGGCUCACCAAGGCGAUGAUCCGUAGCGGGUCUGAGAGGACGAUCCGCCACACUGGGACUGAGACACGGCCCAGACUCCUACGGGAGGCAGCAGUGGGGAAUUUUGGACAAUGGGGGAACCCUGAUCCAGCCAUGCCGCGUGUAUGAAGAAGGCCUUAGGGUUGUAAAGUACUUUUGUUAGGGAAGAAAAGCUAGUUUUUAAUAAAGACUAGUGAUGACGGUACCUAAAGAAUAAGCACCGGCUAACUACGUGCCAGCAGCCGCGGUAAUACGUAGGGUGCGAGCGUUAAUCGGAAUUAUUGGGCGUAAAGCGAGUGCAGACGGUUGUUUAAGCCAGAUGUGAAAUCCCCGAGCUUAACUUGGGACGUGCAUUUGGAACUGGAUAACUAGAGUGUGUCAGAGGGAGGUAGAAUUCCACAUGUAGCGGUGGAAUGCGUAGAGAUGUGGAGGAAUACCGAUGGCGAAGGCAGCCUCCUGGGAUAACACUGACGUUGAGGCUCGAAAGCGUGGGGAGCAA
rnacentral:rRNA from 1 species